AAGCAAACAUCACUGUAAAGAGAGGAGCAAGCAAGAGGAUGGAAAGUGAAGAAAAAUGAUCAUUUCCAUAUUGAGCUAUCCUGGGAAACAAAAUGAAAAUCACUUCUUUCCAUGGAAAGCUUUGCAGCAACAGGAACUGCCUUAGUUGCAGAGAACUGCCUCAAUGCACUCAGUAGACACGACAGGAGUGGAUAAAGAUAUUGUGUGAGGCCCAGCUACAUUAGAAGGCACUGCCCCGCCAAACUGCCAAAAGGUAGGAAGUUAGUCUCUGCAAUCUUGUCAAUAUCAACUUCGGGGGAUUUCAUCACAUCUUUGCCAACCCAAAGAUUUUAGUAUAUACCUAAAAUCGACAGACAAUCUGAGCAAAAUAGCUUAUUCCAUAUCUUUCUUUCAACCAAAAUUUAUUAGGAAACUAUAAAAUUUCAGCUCUUGACUAGGUUCUGGGAUAUAGGAUAGGAUGGGAUAGUAUAGAAUAGAAUGGAAUAGAAUGGAACAUUCCCUGACAUUAUGUAUAUCUC
rnacentral:lncRNA from 1 species